rnacentral:rRNA from 1 species
AUGUCAUAUAUCUCAGGAGCUAGAUCACUUCCCGAUGAACAAGUCAGAAUUGCCUCAACAAAAAUGGAUGGAAUUGGAUCCGGAAGUAAUCUUAACGUCACUUUUCUUAUGAGAUUUCAUAAUGGUGGUUUUAGGAAACUUCAAUUGAUUAAUGAGGUCAUGAGACUCUAUAAUUCGAAUGAUAUGUGGAGAGAGCGGGGCGUCUUACCCGCAUCAAUCGAUACCAUGGUGUCGCAUAUACACGAAGGUUAUUCUUCAUUUCAUCCCAAAUUGGUAUACAAAACCUAUAAAUAUGGUAGGGGUGGUAUGACUUUGCAGGAACAUUUCACUCUUGAAAGGCAAGAUGAGCUUGGGUAUUGUUGUGCCAGGCGCCCACUCAUCAAUGCUGGUGAUUGGCCUUGUAUGGCUGGCCCAUCCCUUUCAGCAGAUGUACUACUUUUGAAAGCAUUAGCGCAUAUCUUAAUGCGGGAGUUUCUAGUGAUAAGAAACAAUCUUCCGCCUAGAUUAACUCAUUAUAAUGAAAUGUUGGGUUUCCACGAGAGGUUCUGGGAUGGUCAAAGUGGUGUAGAUAAAAUAGUUUGUGUGGAUUUGAGUCACAAUAUCCGGUAUGUUUCUACGGAACGUCUAUGGAAUACAUUAAAGUGUCCACACAAUCUGGGAGUGAUUUCCCACAUCUUAAAGGAAUUUAUAUCUCUCCCGAUAUAUAAUGCCGACACUAACCUCCAAAUUCCUCAUUCUUAUUGUAUACCAUUGAUAGGUGAAUUGAGUGACGUGCUCCUACAUCUCUUUUUCCAACAUCAAUUCGAUAGGGAGGUCCUACGCCGGUAUGAAGGUGUUCUUUAUACAAGAUGGGACACCAAUGUCCUUCUAGCUUCAACACGGCAUGACCCAUAUCAUCUUGACCGUCCACAAAUUCUAGACAUCUUAAGGCACGUAAAUCUAAGUGGAUUUAUUUCCGUGAUCGAACAUGGUGGUGGGGGCAUGCUCGUGAACCCUGAGAAAUCCCAGAUAUUCCUCAGUGUAGAUGGCGAUGUUAGUAUCCCUCAACUAAGCGAAGGUGAGACUGACUAUGAUAGUGAAUGA